CAGGUCCCAAGGGUUCGGCUGUUCGCCGAUUAAAGUGGUACGUGAGCUGGGUUCAAAACGUCGUGAGACAGUUUGGUCCCUAUCUGCCGUGGUUGUAGGAGAAUUGAGAGGAUUUGUCCUUAGUACGAGAGGACCGGGAUGAACGCACCUCUGGUGGACCUGUUAUCGCGCCAGCGGUACAGCAGGGUAGCUAUGUGCGGUCGGGAUAACCGCUGAAGGCAUCUAAGCGGGAAACCCACCUCAAAACAAGUUCUCCCUUGAGAGCCGUCGAAGACUACGACGUUGAUAGGCCGGGUAUGGAAGUGCAGCAAUGUGCGAAGUUUACCGGUACUAAUCGCUCGAACGGCUUGAUCGU
rnacentral:rRNA from 1 species